CAUCUCUGCACAGCACAGGUGAGCUUCCACUUCAACAUACUAAUGAGUUCAUGCAAUAAUCAUUCUCUGCUCACAGCGAAGACUAUUUUGUGAUUAUCUAAGUGAAAGAAAGUGGUGUUAGAGAUCCUGCUGUGCAGGAAUUCAGAUGAAAAUAUCAUUUCCUUUCGUAUGUGUUACCAAUAAAGAUGCUACAGCACUGGAGAAGGCACCAAACUGAGCCAAGGGGAAGGCUGACCCAAACAAGUGCCUUGGAAACCGAAAAGUGAAGAGAUGUGUUUGUUCCUGCUGCCUUCAGGAGAUGAGCAGUUUGUGAGAGAUGCACACAAAUACACCAUGAUAAACACUC